rnacentral:rRNA from 1 species
CCUACGGGGAGCAGCAGUGAGGAAUAUUGGUCAAUGGACGAGAGUCUGAACCAGCCAAGUAGCGUGAAGGAUGACUGCCCUAUGGGUUGUAAACUUCUUUUAUAUGGGAAUAAAACGUUCCACGUGUGGGAUUUUGUAUGUACCAUAUGAAUAAGGAUCGGCUAACUCCGUGCCAGCAGCCGCGGUAAUACGGAGGAUCCGAGCGUUAUCCGGAUUUAUUGGGUUUAAAGGGAGCGUAGGUGGAUUGUUAAGUCAGUUGUGAAAGUUUGCGGCUCAACCGUAAAAUUGCAGUUGAAACUGGCAGUCUUGAGUACAGUAGAGGUGGGCGGAAGUCGUGGUGUAGCGGUGAAAUGCUUAGAUAUCACGAAGAACUCCGAUUGCGAAGGCAGUUCACUGGACUGCAACUGACACUGAGGCUCGAAAGUGUGGGUAUCAAACAGGAUUAGAUACCCGAGUAGUC